GGCGCUAUAGCCAAGUGGUUACGGCGACAGAUUCGAAUGAAAACGGUACCGUAAGAGAAUCUGUUCCUCUUUGAGGGCGCAGGUUCAAAUCCUGCUGGCGUCG